UUUAUGGGGCCCGGUGAGUAAGUGGGAUUUAAAUUAAGGUAGAUUUUAAUAUUUUGUUUUAUUUUAGGUUCUUAGGCAUAAUUGUUUGGAUAUGACGCUUAUUUUUAUUCACUAUACACCAGUGUUGGAGAUUGAACAAUAAACUUUAGUUUGAUUCAGUGAGUUGCUAUCUAGGCCUGGUAAAGUUUGUGCCAGCAACUGCGGUUAGACAAACAGGCCGAGUUAAGAUUUGUGCAGCAUAAAGUAGGGUUAGGAGGAAAGUUAAAUGGAUUGUUUAAUAGGAAAUUUAAGAUGGUUUGAGGGGUGCAAUCCUAAGAGUCGUGUUUUUAUCUAGUAUUUCCUUUUGUCUGACGCCCUGAGAUUCCAAUUUAAGACCGGGAUUUGGUAUCCCGUUAUUCGGAGUGUAAACUUUGGUUUUUAUAUCUGCUGGGGUACUACGAGCGCUGAAUUAGGCCAGGCUUAAAACUCAAAAAACUUGGCGGUGUUUCAUAUCCUCCCAGGGGAACCUGUCUCAUAAA
rnacentral:rRNA from 1 species